rfam:Plasmodium falciparum Dd2 supercont1.1699 genomic scaffold, whole genome shotgun sequence.
AGUUGUCCCAAUGAUCCAGUGGGAAGGUAUGUAAGUUUUCUUUGAAGUGACACAGGUUCGAUUCCGCGUCCUUGAGUUUCUGAGAUAAAAAGUUGCAGGCCAAGAUACUGAAGAUUCGUUCGGAAUGGGCAACACCAUUUUUUUUAUUUUUUCCAAAAU